rnacentral:rRNA from 1 species
AGGCCUAACACAUGCAAGUCGAGCGGGGAGAUGUAGCUUGCUACAUUUCCUAGCGGCGGACGGGUGAGUAAUGCUUAGGAAUCUGCCUAUUAGCGGGGGACAACAUUCCGAAAGGAAUGCUAAUACCGCAUACGCCCUACGGGGGAAAGCAGGGGAUCUUCGGACCUUGCGCUNAUAGAUGAGCCUAAGUCAGAUUAGCUAGUUGGUGGGGUAAAGGCCUACCAAGGCGACGAUCUGUAGCGGGUCUGAGAGGAUGAUCCGCCACACUGGGACUGAGACACGGCCCAGACUCCUACGGGAGGCAGCAGUGGGGAAUAUUGGACAAUGGGCGCAAGCCUGAUCCAGCCAUGCCGCGUGUGUGAAGAAGGCCUUUUGNUUGUAAAGCACUUUAAGCGAGGAGGAGGCUACUUGGAUUAAUACUCUAGGAUAGUGGACGUUACUCGCAGAAUAAGCACCGGCUAAUUCUGUGCCAGCAGCCGCGGUAAUACG